AGGAUUAUAGUUAAAAAUAACAUUUAAUUUGCACUUAAAAAGUAUUGAAAAUUCAAUUAAUCUUA
rnacentral:tRNA from 1 species